GAGGGGAGGUCAAACCAACAAGAACUGCUAACUCCUGCCUCUGAGAAUAAACCCUCAGUCCCCUUA
rnacentral:tRNA from 1 species